UAGGGAAUCUUCCGCAAUGGGCGAAAGCUUGACGGAGCAACGCCGCGUGAGUGAUGAAGGUCUUCGGAUCGUAAAACUCUGUUAUUAGGGAAGAACAAAUGUGUAAGUAACUAUGCACGUCUUGACGGUACCUAAUCAGAAAGCCACGGCUAACUACGUGCCAGCAGCCGCGGUAAUACGUAGGUGGCAAGCGUUAUCCGGAAUUAUUGGGCGUAAAGCGCGCGUAGGCGGUUUUUUAAGUCUGAUGUGAAAGCCCACGGCUCAACCGUGGAGGGUCAUUGGAAACUGGAAAACUUGAGUGCAGAAGAGGAAAGUGGAAUUCCAUGUGUAGCGGUGAAAUGCGCAGAGAUAUGGAGGAACACCAGUGGCGAGGGCGACUUUCUGGUCUGUAACUGACGCUGAUGUGCGAAAGCGUGGGGAUCAAACAGG
rnacentral:rRNA from 1 species